rnacentral:rRNA from 1 species
GAAUAUUGCGCAAUGGGGGAAACCCUGACGCAGCCAUGCCGCGUGUGUGAAGAAGGCCUUCGGGUUGUAAAGCACUUUCAAUAGGGAGAAAAGGCCCGCGGUUAAUAGCCGUGGGAGUUGAUGUUACCUAUAGAAGAAGCAGCGGCUAACUCCGUUCCAGCAGCCGCGGUAAUACGGAGGGUGCGAGCGUUAAUCGGAAUUACUGGGCGUAAAGCGCGCGUAGGCGGCCUGUUAAGUCAGCUGUGAAAGCCCCGGGCUCAACCUGGGAAUUGCAGUUGAUACUGUCAGGCUGGAGUACGAGAGAGGGAGGUAGAAUUCCAUGUGUAGCGGUGAAAUGCGUAGAUAUAUGGAGGAAUACCAGUGGCGAAGGCGGCCUCCUGGCUCGAUACUGACGCUGAGGUGCGAAAGCGUGGGUAGCAAACAGG